UCCCUCGAGCCGAAUUUGAACCAGCGACCUAAGGAUCACCGUUGUAACAUCUACAGUCCUCCGCUCUGCCAUCUGAGCUAUCGAGGG
rnacentral:tRNA from 1 species